rnacentral:rRNA from 1 species
UACGUAGGAGACGAGCGUUGUCCGGAAUUACUGGGCGUAAAGCGCGUGUAGGCGGAUGAGCAAGUCUGCUGUGAAAGCUCCUGGCUUAACCGGGAGUGGUCGGUGGAAACUGCUCGUCUGGAGGACGGUAGAGGUAGGUAGAAUUCCCGGUGUAGUGGUGAAAUGCGUAGAGAUCUGGAGGAACACCCGUGGCGAAGGCGGCUCCCUGGUCCGAUUCUGACGCUGAGACGCGAAAGCGCGGGGAGCGAACGGG